AGCAACUCUCACCUACGAGAAGAGUGACAUGGAUGACAAGGAAGCAAUAUCACAGAAUGAUCUUUUGCUUCUUUUGAAACCAAAUCAUCAAGACAAGGAAGAACUCCCAACAGUCUAUGCUUUUGCAUUGGUAGAAAGUCGUCAGGCGAGUUCUUUUAGGAUUAGAAUGUAUUUGGCCGGAUAAGUCAAAAACUUGAAGACAGAUGCAGUUGAAACUUGUCCAAGGUUGUUAAACGUAAAGUCAUUGGUUACUUCUAGUAUUGAAGGAGAGAGGUUUUUGAUCACUCGAAAGAUUUGCAGUUUAUCAACUAUUGCUCGUGAAUAUGUAGCUCUAUGGUCAAUUGGCUCUCUGCCCUUUAAAGAUAUAAUUCUUGGAGCUGCUGAGAAAAAUAUCGAUUCAGAAGGCCAAGCCUGGAAAAUUUCUAGGCCUCUAGAGGAAUUU